rnacentral:lncRNA from 1 species
GGAAAUGACGAAGAAAGCGCACUGACUAUCCAGGAUAAUGUGAUAGCAGAAUAGAAUGAGAUGAUUGCGGAACUCGCAAGAAAGUUAGAAAUGCUUCAGGAGGAAAUAAAUCGCACUCGAGAUUUGUCUAACUUGGCUAUCACCGUCAAUGCCCCUGCUCUGGGGGGACACGGGAAUCCACUCUAAAUUCCUCCCCUCAGCACCCCUAUUCUUGGGGAUCAGCC